GCUGGCAGCUGCUGCUCCUGGCGGGCUGGGCGGCGGCGGGGAUUCUGCCAUGGUUGCACAGGGCGCUGUGGCACGGAGAGCUCGCGGCAGGGGAUGCGGAGCUACAGUGCAGCGAAAGCUCAGAGCAGAGCCGAAGAAGCAGUGAGGACAGGACAGCAGCGGCCUGGCUCCCAGCAGGGCAGAGAGGGACGAGCCCAAGAUCCCCGGCACACGAGCAGAUGGGGAUGGGUCCCUCUUUCAGUGAGGAAGGUGUUAAUAAUGUCCCAGUCACACGGCUGCUCUUAUGAGCAAAGGCUCACCCACAGAAAGGCGAGGCAGUACUGGACUGGGCUCCAGUAGUGACAGUGAAUUCUCUUCCCAGUAAACAACAGCUUGACCAUCGUUCUCUGAAACCCAGAGAGAGAGCCCUAGCAGCUCCUCAGCCCUGUCUUUUGCCUGCUGAAAUCGCCAGAAAAAUCCGUUUGCAGAAAAUUAAAAAGAAAACAAAACAAAACAAAAAUCGCACAUAGAUCUCUGGUGUAAAAGCAUCUAUGAGAUGAGCAACAUUACAAGCUGGAGAGAUUUGGUAACAAAAUGUCACCAGACAAAUCAGCAAUAGGUCCUAAAUGCAUUAUCUAGUUCCAUCGUUCUGAAGUGAAAAUAAUUAUGAUGAGAAUACCACAUACCUCCUCCAGUUAGGAAGUUUAACAAGAAUUGAUAUGGCUUAUACAGCAUGAGGUGUGAGUGGAAACAACAGACAGAAAAUUGACUACCUGAUAAGAAACAUAUUUUUCACAUGCCUUCAGAGCCCUACUUUUCUCAUGUUAUUGAAUGAAAAACAAUCCCAAAGCAACAUUUUCUACUGUUUACUUGUCUAUCCCCAAGAAACAGAUGAAUUCUGGUUAUUCUGACCCUCCUCUGCCCACAGCCCAUCUGAGGGCAUGGCCUCCCCUCAAUGACUUUAUACAAAGCAAGAAAAGGUGAUCAAUGCCUUUCAGCCUGUGGGUCUGCUGCAAGGCUGAAAAUUCAUAAUGCCAUUGCUGCUCUUCACAUCUCAGCCAAGGUUUCCCGUAGAGAUUAAUGCCUCAUAAGGGGAUUUGAAACAUACCACUGAAACACAGACCUGAUGUUGCAAUGUUUACUUUAUAUAGGCCUCAAUAAAGUCA